CGAUCUGCAGCAGAGCCAUCGAAACUGUGACGAAGCUCAGAGACCCCGUCCAAGACAGGAGAGAGUUUACUUCUCUGGACGUCCCCUGCCUGUGAAUGAACACAAAGGACAGACUUCAAAUUCUCUAUCUGCUUUUCCCAUAGAAGAACCACCACCAAAGCAAAGGGUAUUCAUCCCAGAUCGCAAACUCAAACAGAAGGAAGACUGUACAUAGCAGUGGAUUUCAACCUUCCUAAUGUUGGACCUCUAAUCCUGUUCCUCACGUUGUGGUGACCCCCAACCAUAAAAAUAUUU